rnacentral:rRNA from 1 species
UGAACGCUGGCGGCGUGCCUAAUACAUGCAAGUCGAGCGAACAGACGAGGAGCUUGCUCCUCUGACGUUAGCGGCGGACGGGUGAGUAACACGUGGAUAACCUACCUAUAAGACUGGGAUAACUUCGGGAAACCGGAGCUAAUACCGGAUAAUAUAUUGAACCGCAUGGUUCAAUAGUGAAAGACGGUUUUGCUGUCACUUAUAGAUGGAUCCGCGCCGCAUUAGCUAGUUGGUAAGGUAACGGCUUACCAAGGCAACGAUGCGUAGCCGACCUGAGAGGGUGAUCGGCCACACUGGAACUGAGACACGGUCCAGACUCCUACGGGAGGCAGCAGUAGGGAAUCUUCCGCAAUGGGCGAAAGCUUGACGGAGCAACGCCGCGUGAGCGAUGAAGGUCUUCGGAUCGUAAAACUCUGUUAUUAGGGAAGAACAAAUGUGUAAGUAACUAUGCACGUCUUGACGGUACCUAAUCAGAAAGCCACGGCUAACUACGUG